rnacentral:rRNA from 1 species
CAGUAGCCGCGGUAAUACGUAGGUCCCGAGCGUUGUCCGGAUUUAUUGGGCGUAAAGCGAGCGCAGGCGGCUAGAUAAGUCUGAAGUUAAAGGCUGUGGCUUAACCAUAGUACGCUUUGGAAACUGUUUAACUUGAGUGCAAGAGGGGAGAGUGGAAUUCCAUGUGUAGCGGUGAAAUGCGUAGAUAUAUGGAGGAACACCGGUGGCGAAAGCGGCUCUCUGGCUUGUAACUGACGCUGAGGCUCGAAAGCGUGGGGAGCAAACAGGAUUAGAUACCCCAGUAGUCCCUGUCUCUUAUACA